ACACACACACACACACACACACACACACACACACACACACACACACACACACACACACACACACACACAUAACUGGUCUCAGACUGACCCUUGUGGAGAAAGAAAAUAUCUGUACAAAUGUUAGAUCCAAUCAGAGGGCAGCUUCAGUGAGAAGUUUUUGAUUACUGAGUCAGUUUUCUUAAGAUAUGAAGCUGCAGGUAGAGGUCUCAGGUGUGAAGCUGCAGGUAGAGGUCUCAGGUCUGAAGCUGCAGGUAGAGGUCUCGGGUAUGAAGGUGCAGGUAGAGGUCUCCGGUGUGAAGAUGCAGGUAGAGUUCUCAGGUAUGAAGCUGCAGGUAGAGGUCUCAGGUAUGAAGCUGCAGGUAGAGGUCUCAGGUAGAGGUCUGAGGUCUGAAGCUACAGGUAGAGGUCUCGGGUAUGAAGGUGCAGGUAGAGGUCUCAGGUGUGAAGCUGCAGGUAGAGGUCUCGGGUAUGAAGGUGCAGGUAGAGGUCUCAGGUCUGAAGCUGCAGGUAGAGGUCUCAGGUCUGAAGCUACAGGUAGAGGUCCAGGUGUGAAGCUGCAGGUAGAGGUCUCAGGUGUGAAGCUGCAGGUAGAGGUCUCAGGUGUGAAGCUGCAGGUAGAGGUCUCAGGUAGAGGUCUCAGGUAUGAAGCUGCAGGUAGAGGUCUCAGGU